AUGGCGCCGGGGUUCACCAAAUUUGAUGUGGAGAAAUUCGAUGGCACGGAUAACUUCGGUCUAUGGCAGACAAGAGUCAAGGAUAUUCUGACGCAGCAGGGAAUCUUGAAGGGUUUGCAGGAGACGAAGCCGACCAAGGUUGACAACAAUGCGUGGGAGGAUAUGCAAGUGCAGGCGGCCGCUACCAUACGGCUUUGUCUUGCGGAUCAGAUGAACGACCUCUUCUCGUCGAGCUCGUUCAAGAAGUAUGCCGACCUGAAGGACCAGGUGGCGCUGGACGAGAUGGAGGCCGGCAGCGGCAGCGAGAGCGCCAACCUCGACAAGUUCUUCGAGGACGUGGAGGGCGUCAAGGAGGACAUCAGCGGCCUCGAGUCCAUGCACCGCCGGCUGCAGUCGGUGAACGAGGAGAGCAAGACCGCACACGACGCCCGCGCCGUCAAGUCGCUCCGCGCCCGCAUGGACGGCGACGUCGUGCAGGUCCUCCGCCGCGCUAAGGUCGUCAAGGCUAAGCUCGAGGCCCUCGACCGCGCCAACGCCGCCAGCCGUAAGCUCCCCGGCUGCGGCGCCGGCUCCUCCACCGACCGCACCCGCUCCUCCGUCGUCUCCGGCCUCGGCAACAAGCUCAAGGACCUCAUGGACGACUUCCAGGGCCUUCGGACGCGGAUGGCGGCGGAGUACAAGGAGACGGUGGCGCGGCGGUACUACACGGUGACGGGUGAGACGGCGGAGGAGAGCACGAUCGAGGCGCUCAUCGCGUCGGGGGAGAGCGAGACGUUCCUGCAGAAGGCGAUCCAGCGGGACCAAGGGCGCGGGCAGGUGAUGGCCACGGUGUCGGAGAUCCAGGAGCGGCACGACGCCGUGAAGGACAUCGAGCGCAGCCUGCUGGAGCUGCACCAGGUGUUCCUGGACAUGGCGGCGCUGGUGGAGGCGCAGGCCCACCAGCUCAACAACAUCGAGACCCACGUCGCGCGCGCCAGCUCCUUCGUGAUCAGGGGCACCGUGGAGCUCGAGUCCGCGCGCGUCUACCAGAAGAGCAGCCGCAAGUGGGCCUGCAUAGCCGUCGUCGCCGGCGCCGUGCUCGUCCUCGUCAUCGUGCUGCCGAUACUCGUCAACCUCAAGCUCUUGAGCGGCAGAUAG
rnacentral:rRNA from 1 species